AUGCCCUUGUGCUCCAUGCCGUACCUCGUUCAAACAUUAUGCUUCCGAUGUUUGGCUUUGGGAGGCAUACCACUAUCAGGCAAAGAUGACUGCCAAAGAGUUUGGGAGCUUGCCCUCAAUGGCCACAACUAUCCUACAUGGGCUAUGAACAUCAAGACCAGUCUUGCGUCUCAUGGGAUUGCGGGUGCAAUCCAGCCCCCUGAGACUCCUCUCCCGGCUGGAGCCACGUCGCUGACAGAACAACAGAACUAUGCUGCUUUAUUUAUCAUAAGGCAUCAUAUUCACCCAGAUCUGAAGUCUGAGUAUUUACAGGAGGAAUCUCCUAGUACUUUGUUUCUGGCCAUCAAAACGAGGUAUGAACAGCAGAAGGCAGUAGUCCUGCUAGAAGCACUCCAUGAUUGGACUCAUCUCCGUCUUCAGGAUUUCAAGUCCAUCGGGCAUAUUUCCUUCACUGGUUAUGCUGUACUAGCAAUCUCAGGGACGCAAAGCACCUCAAGGGAAAAGGUUUGA
rnacentral:rRNA from 1 species